rnacentral:rRNA from 1 species
GAGUUUAAACUCUCCAACCCAAUGUGACGUUACCAAACUGUUGCCUCGGCGGGAUCUCUGCCCCGGGUGCGUCGCAGCCCCGGACCAAGGCGCCCGCCGGAGGACCAACCAAAACUCUUAUUGUAUACCCCCUCGCGGGUUUUUUUAUAAUCUGAGCCUUCUCGGCGCCUCUCGUAGGCGUUUCGAAAAUGAAUCAAAACUUUCAACAACGGAUCUCUUGGUUCUGGCAUCGAUGAAGAACGCAGCGAAAUGCGAUAAGUAAUGUGAAUUGCAGAAUUCAGUGAAUCAUCGAAUCUUUGAACGCACAUUGCGCCCGCCAGUAUUCUGGCGGGCAUGCCUGUCCGAGCGUCAUUUCAACCCUCGAACCCCUCCGGGGGGUCGGCGUUGGGGAUCGGCCCUGCCUUGGCGGUGGCCGUCUCCGAAAUACAGUGGCGGUCUCGCCGCAGCCUCUCCUGCGCAGUAGUUUGCACACUCGCAUCGGGAGCGCGGCGCGUCCACAGCCGUUAAACACCCAACUUCUGAAAUGUUGACCUCGGAUCAGGUAGGAAUACCCGCUGAACUUAAGCAUAUCAA